rnacentral:rRNA from 1 species
GACGAACGCUGGCGGCGUGCUUAACACAUGCAAGUCGAACGGAAAGGCCCUGCUUUUGUGGGGUGCUCGAGUGGCGAACGGGUGAGUAACACGUGAGUAACCUGCCCUUGACUUUGGGAUAACUUCAGGAAACUGGGGCUAAUACCGGAUAGGAGAUCCUGCUGCAUGGUGGGGGGUGGAAAGGUUCGGCGGUUGGGGAUGGACUCGCGGCUUAUCAGCUUGUCGGUGGGGUAGUGGCUUACCAAGGCUUUGACGGGUAGCCGGCCUGAGAGGGUGACCGGCCACAUUGGGACUGAGAUACGGCCCGGACUCAUACGGGAGGCAGCAGUGGGGAAUAUUGCACAAUGGGCGGAAGCCUGAUGCAGCAACGUCGCGUGCGAGAUGACGGCCUUCGGGUUGUAAACCGCUUUCGCCUGUGACGAAGCGUGAGUGACGGUAAUGGGUAAGGAAGCAACGGCUAACUACGUG